UGACACACAUCACAGGUGACAUCAGGGGUACCUGCUCAGAGGCUGCAGAGAUGGAAGAGUGUCACCCUUUGUGCAGCUGAGCAGAGACCACCUGCUCCAUCUAGGCUCCCAGGUAAACAGUUCCAGUUUCUUCAUGGUGGAGGCAGGUUUGUGUUUUGAGCCAGACAGGGUGCUGGAGUCAGGUUGUCUUCUCAGGAGCUGGGAGUUGGAUGUUUCCUUAUCCAACACAGGUGUUUGUUUCAAGUAUAACUUCAAUGCAUUUUAUUUUGUAAAGCUGAUGACAGUUGCAAAGGUUCAUUCUGGAGUUCUAGGGUCAGGUGGCCUGGGAUUAAAAACCCAGGAAGUUCCUGCCACGGCUCAAGGACCUGCAGUAGUCUCUGUGAAGAUAUGGGCUCAAAUCCCUGGCCUCGCUCAGUGGGUUAAGGUUCUGGAGUUGCUGCAAGCUGCAGUGUAGUUCACAGACAUCCCUGGUUCUGGCAUUGCUGUGGCUGUGGUGUAGGCUGGCAACUGCAGGUCCAAUUGGACCCCUAGUCUAGUAACUUCCAUAUGCCAGGGGUGUGGCCCUAAAAAGAUGAAAGAAAGAACCGAAGUCAAAUGUUUUCCUUUUUUUUUUUUCUUGGGCCGCUCCCAUGGCAUAUGGAGGUUCCCAAGCUAGGGGUCCAAUCGGAGCUGUAGCCGCCAGCCUAUGCCAGAGCCACAACAACACGGGAUCCAAGCCACGUCUGCGACCUACACCACAGGUCAUGGCAACGCCGGAUCGUUAACCCACUGUGCAAGGCCAGGGAUGGAACACGCAACCUCAUGGUUCCUAGUCGGAUUCGUUAACCACUGAGCCACGAUGGGAACUCUGUAAGUCAAAUGUUUUUCACGGGUUUUAAAUGAGGUAAUUCAGUGUCUGGCAUGUAUUGCUCAAUGAACAUCAUCACCUAUUACAGUCUUGAUGAGGAAAUAAUUUUUUUUGAAAUUAGGAAGUUUUUUUAAAAUUAAAGUAUAGUUGGUUUACAAUGUUGUGCCAAUUUCUGCUGUACAGCAUAGUGACACACACACACAUACACACUUUUUAUAUUUUUUUCCAUCAUGGAGAUUGGCUAUAGUUCCCUGUGCUAUACAGUAGGACCGUGUUGUUUAUCCAUUCUAAAUAUAAUGGUUUGCAUAUACUCUAACCUCCCAGUCCAUCACACUCCCUCCCCACUCCCACUUCUCCCUUGGCAACCACAAAUCUGUUCUCUGUAUCUAUGAGUCUGUCUCUGUUUUGUAGAUAGGCUCAUUUGUGCCGUGUUUUAGAUUCCACAUUACAAGUAAUACAUGGAAUUUGCCUUUCUCUUUCUGACCUAUGUCACUUAGUAUGAUAAUAUCUGGUUGCAUCCAUGUUGCUGCAAAUGGCAUUAUUUCAUUCUUUUUUAUGCCUGAGUAGUAUUCCACAUCUUCUUAAUCUGUUCUUCUGUUUAUGGACAUUUAGGUUGUUUCCGUGUCUUUUGCUUCUAUGAACAUAGGGCUGCAUGUAUACUUUUUGAAUUAUAGUUUUGUCUGGAUAUAUGCUCAGGAGUGGGAUUGUUGUAUCAUAUGGUAGGUGUUUUUUUUUUUUUAGUUUUUUGAGGAACCUCCAUGCUGUUUUCCAUGGUGGUUGUACCAAUUUACAUUCCCACUGACAGCGUAGGAGGGUUCCCUUUUCUCCACAUCCUAUCCAGCAUUUACUGGUUGUAGACUUUUUGAGGAUACAAUUCUCGUUGGUGUAAUGUGGUUCCUCAUUGUAGUUUUGAUUUGUAUUUCUCUAGUAAUUAGGGAUGUUGCACUUGUUUNUCGCACUUGUUUUCAUGUGCCUACUAGCCAUCCAUAUGUCUUCAUGGGAGAAAUGUCUAUUUAGAUCUUCUGAUCAUUUUUGAUUGGAUUGUUUACUUUUUGCUGUGGAGUUGUAGGAGUUAUUUGUAUAUUUAAGAGAUUAAGCCCUUGCGGGUUGCAUCAUUUGCAAUAUUGUCUCCCCUUCUGUAUGUUGUCUUUUCUAUUUUUUAUGAUUUCCUUUGCUGUGCAAAAGCUUGAAUUUGAUUGGGUCCCAUGUGUUUGUUUUUCUUUGGGAUUUCUCUGGGGGAAGGGCUGCGGACCCUGUGGGUGCCCUGCUGGGUCACCUUCCGUUCCUACUUCACUCAGGCCUGGGGGAAGCUGAGGUCUGUUGGUGCGACUCCCCCUCCCACGGUUUUGGCUGCUGGAUGCAGACAUCCUGCAGCAACAGCAUCAGUCCUUCUUCUCAUGUGAGGGCACCUGGCUUUGCCAGAGCUGUAAUCAUGGCCUUGCUGGUCAGAAACACUGUGUUCUUCCUGCUCUGUCUCGCAGGAACUCUGCCCGCUGCCCUUGCUGACAUCUGUGUGUGCAGAGUGGUGGUGUUUCUCCAAUUAGGCAAGUUGUGAAAUUGAGGCGAAAGUCUGGAAAAUCCAUAUCCCUGGGUGUGUGUUCAGCUGAUGUUUCAGGGUCUGAGUUUUUCAGGGGGUUGGUGAUGGGGUCAUGGACAGGAGUGUGCUGGCUAGUGGGCAGGAGUGAGCUGACCCCAUUCUCCAGGGAAAGAAGAUCCAGCAUGUGUGCACAAUUCAUGAUAUAAGGUCAUGUGAAGGAUGGAGGUACAAAGAUAACGAUGAUGAUAUGCUGACAUGUAAUAGCAGAUAACACACAAUCCUCUGUUGUCAAUGAGCCCCCCAAAUUUGUAUAUAUGAGCAUGUAUGUUUAUUAGCUAAACUGAUACACAGGAUAUGUAAAACAACAAUUUAAAAAAUACUAGUGGACAGGACUCUGGUGUAAAUUCCAGAGAGCCCAGGGCCUCACAGGAAACAUUUGUAGGUGUUGGCCCUGUUCCUGUUCUACAACCCGUGGUCCCCUAGUUGACUCAUGAGAGUGGUUCAGACAUUGCUCUGAUUUUCUUGUAACUAAGGAGCAAGACUGAACUCUGCAUGUAUAGAAGCUCAUUUCUGCCUCCAUGAUGUCAGCAGCCUCUGCUGAGCCACGUCCUGUCUUCUGGAUACAGAAGUGUGUUCUCUUAAUCACUAGGAUGCAGCCGCGUAGACACAUACCUGUGCAUGUGGUCUGCAUGAGUCACACUUUCCCAUCACUUCCUAAGUCUAGGCCAUCACGAGCAUGAUCAACCAUGGCGACGCUCUGGCAUUUGCCUUUUUUUUUUUUUUUUUUUUUUUUUUUGCUUUUUGCCUUUUCUAGGGCCCCUCCCAUGGCAUAUGGAGGUUCCCAGGCUAGGAGUCUAAUUGGAGCUGUAGCCACCGGCCUACGCCAGAGCCACAGCAACGUGGGAUCCGAGCUGCAUCUGUGACCUACAUCACAGCUCACGGCAACGCUGGAUCCUCAACCCACUGAGCAAGGCCAGGGAUCAAUCCUGCAACUUCAUGGUUCCUAGUCAGAUUUGUUAAUCACUGCACCACCACAGGAACUCCUGACAUUUGCCAUUUUUGUGGUGUAUGUAUUCCCACAGUGGCCAGUUUCAAGUGUCCGGUGAGAGGUUCCUGGACACGGAGUCCGGGGGAUGCCCAGAAAGCAUUUCCAUCACACACAGUGCGGGUGGGAGAGGGUGAGAGCGAGCAGAGUGGGUAGUAGAUACAGUAUGACAACCAGUGAGUCUGCAGUGAUGGGGGCAGUUUCGAGGAUGUGUUGCCUUGAUUCUUAACAUCGUUUAUUCUUUGUGAGGCUCUAAGUUAGCUCCUAACAUGAGCUGUGUUUAACAUCCCGCACACACCAUUCCUGAAGAUUCCAAUACGGCGUUCUCAUUGGAUGCCAGUGGCUCCAGCAUCCUCUCGCCUUCCAUGUUCAGCGCCUGGAACCCAGAAUUUAAACUGAGAAAAGACAGACUAACAAGACAAGUAAAGAUGGAAAGGCAUGUGUACGUGUGUGUGUUUAUAAAGAAAUGUUACUUAAGGAGGCAGUGAGAAGGGGCCCUAAAUACCCCCCUGGGCUGAGCAAAGGAAAAGUUUUAGAGGGUGAGUCAGGGCAAGGCGGCCAGGAAAGCCCUGUGAAGAAGGGAGUUUAGUGGAGUUUUCAGAUCCAGGUUGGUGCCUUUUUUAUUGAUGAGAGUCGUUAAGUGGCCUCUUCCAGGCAUGGGAGAAGGCGAGGUCCCUACAACUGGGCAUUUCCUUUAUAGAGGGAAAGCGUGUGCCCUGUUCCUACCGUGUUUCCUGAGUCCGCUGGUUCUCAGUGGCCUUCCGCCCAGAAUACUCCCUAUGCCAAAUGAACAUAUUUGGAUUGAUAAAUUCUGGUUCCCUUCAUUUGAAACUCAGUGGUUUCCCCUUCAAAGUAAACUGGGGAAUCCCCAUGAGAUCCCAGGUGUCACCUGAGCCCCUAGGUCUGGGAUCAUUGGGAUCUGGCCCAGCAGGUACUGGAUCCAGAAGGGGCUGGAUUCCCGUCAACCCUCUGCUUGGCUGUGAAGGUGGCCCCGUGGGGCGGGCGGUUGGGAGGGGCACAGACCCACACCUGUUCUCCUAAUGACAGCAGAGGUAUGUUUCCCUAUGUUGGGCUGGUCACACUCUCACUUGGGGUCCCUGUGGUGCAGCCAUCCCAUGCUAAAGACCCCUGAAGGUAGGCCCUGAUGUAGCAUUAUGUAAACCUGUGUGGGGGAUGUGCAGGGCAUCAUAGCUGGCUGGCUCCAGGAUGGAGGUGCCCCUGUGUCCUGCGUGUUUGAGUCCAGACCUACCCACAUGGACACUUGCUGCCUGAAUGUCACAUGCCCUCCAGGGGGCCUGAGUUCUUGUGCUCAUGCCUGAAGGGCAUUUCUGAGAUAGGACAUGAGCUGAGAGAGCCAGGGGCCAGGCUGUGAGAGAAGAUGGAGGCAGGCAUGCAGUCUAUAUCUCACAGAUGAGAAAGGGUGGAUCUCUGUUGCUGCGGAGGCAGAACAAGGACCAAGGGGUGAUGGCUGUUGGUGUACUCGAUGCUGUAUGGGGGAGGAAAAAUUUUCCUCUGCCCUCUUAUGUUCUGUGCCAUCGAUCUGCCAAUUUAACUAACAAACAAUGAAUUAACAGGAGCCAAGAUUUAUUGUGUCUGUGUACAGAGCCCUUCAGAGAAAAGUGGAGGUAUAAAGUGACAGACCUAAGGAUGUAGGUGCCUAUGACAAGACAAAGGAAGACAGCUUUCAGCUUUGGGGGCCAGGAAGUUGUGGGAAGGUAAAUGUAUGGGGGAAAAUAACAGAAGAUGGAGCCCAUGUAAGUGAGGUUUGUUAUGCAGACUGAAGUCAGUACCUUCUCAGAUGAUAAAGGUCUUUCUCCCCUUCCUGGUGCAGGAGAGGGAGGGGGGCAUCCUCACAAAGGGGUCAGCAGGUGGAGGAGGGCAGAGUUUUCCUUUCUACAGCUUCUCAGUCACCUCCACUCAGAGGAGCCCUCGUGAGCCAAAGUGGCAUAGUUGGGUGGCAAAUUUUGACACCCCCCCCCCGCAGGCUGUAUAGAGAGUUUCCUGACUCAGGGUUUGAGGUUAGUAGGUAUGAACUAUUGCAUUUGGGGUGGAUAAGAAAUGAGGCCCUGCUCUAUCACACAGGGAACUAUAUCCAAUCACUUAUAACAGGAUGGAAGGUGGUAUGAGACAAAUAAGGUGUAUGUAUGUAUGCAUGACUGGGUCACCUUGCCAUACAGCAGAAAUGGACAGAACAUUGUAAAUCAACUAUAAUAAAAAGUUUCCCACAGUUGGAGGUGGUGCCAGUGGAUAGGCCUCCUCCAAACUAGAGGGAACUCCUCCCCUUAGAGGAGAGUGUCCAGAAUGUCCACGUGGUGGCAAGGAUGCUGCAUGGUUACUGUGGGCCUCUGUUCUGAUGCCUUGUGUGUUUUAGCUCAAAGAAUCCACCCUGUGACCCUAUGGGAUGGGCACUAUUACCACUCCCACCUUACAGGUGAGAAACUGAGGCCUGGACAGUGGGGUAACUGGUCCAAGGAUGGCUCCUUGGUGGUGGAGCUCCGGUGCAAACCCAACUCUUGGCCACCCCUCCAUAGCAGCUGGGGACUGUGCUUCCUGGGGCCACCAUAACUAACACCACCGACUGGGUGGUUAAACAGCAGACAUGUAGUGUCUCCUGGGUUCAGAUGCUGACAUUCUGAGUUCGAGGUGUGGGCAGGGUUGGUUUCUCCUAUGGCCUCCUUCUUUGUCAUGUAGAAAGCCGUCUUCUCUUCCUGCUGGGUCUUCUCUUCCUGCUGGGUCUUCUCUCAAAGAGAACCAGAUGUUGCUGCAUUAGUGCAAUGUGGUGUGGUUUUGCACUUAAAAGAGGUAUUCAGAUCUAGUUGUAAAUGUUCUUGAAAAGCCUCUUCUCGUCUAGUCAAACUGCUUUUAGUGAGUCUCACCAGUGGUUUUACCUCUGCAGAGCAUUUGAGGACUGGGCUGACUUUUUGAGAGGAUUGAAAUUGUUCAUAUUGUGAUCCUAAAUUUUAUAUUCGCUAUAUUUCCUAAAGUAUACCUUAAUAAAUAUUUUAUGACCAGAAAAAAAAAAAA
rnacentral:lncRNA from 1 species